rnacentral:rRNA from 1 species
AGGACGAACGCUGGCGGCGUGCCUAACACAUGCAAGUCGUACGAGGGCAGCCUUCGGGCUGACCCGAGUGGCGGACGGGUGAGUAACACGUGACCAAUCUGCCUUCGAGAGGGGGAUAACCUGGGGAAACCCGGGCUAAUACCGCAUGAAGUGUCGUGCUCGCAUGGGCGUGACACCAAAGGGAGCCUCUAUUUAUAAGCUUCCGCUUGAAGAGGAGGUCGCGGCGUAUCAGCUAGUUGGUAGGGUAACGGCCUACCAAGGCUACGACGCGUAGCGGGUCUGAGAGGACGACCCGUCACAUUGGGACUGAGAUACGGCCCAGACUCCGUACGGGAGGCAGCAGGUGGGGAAUAGUUGCGCAAGUGGUCGAAAGGCUAGGACGCAGCGACGCCGCGUGUGGGAGGAAGGCCCGUUCGGGUACGUAAACCGACGUGGUCGGGAGGACGAACGUUCCCGGACGGGUAC